rnacentral:rRNA from 1 species
GAUGAACGCUGGCGGCGUGCUUAACACAUGCAAGUCGAACGAGAAGCGAAGACGGAAACCUUCGGGCGGAAGGCUUUAUUUCGAGUGGCGGACGGGUGAGUAACGCGUGGGUAACCUGCCUCAUACAGGGGGAUAACAGUUGGAAACGACUGUUAAUACCGCAUAAGACCACAGCACCGCAUGGUGCGGGGGUAAAAACUCCGGUGGUAUGAGAUGGACCCGCGUUCGAUUAGCCAGUUGGCGGGGUAACGGCCCACCAAAGCGACGAUCGAUAGCCGAUCUGAGAGGAUGACCGGCCACAUUGGGACUGAGACACGGCCCAAACUCCUACGGGAGGCAGCAGUGGGGAAUAUUGCACAAUGGGGGAAACCCUGAUGCAGCGACGCCGCGUGAGUGAAGAAGUAUUUCGGUAUGUAAAGCUCUAUCAGCAGGGAAGAAAAUGACGGUACCUGAGUAAGAAGCCCCGGCUAACUACGUG